rnacentral:rRNA from 1 species
AUGCGAAGACGUUCGCCUGCUGGGCCUGAGCGUGGACGUCGCCCACAUCCCGACGACCCACAUGCUCUGGGUGAUGAAGCAUGGUGCUGGCCGCAUGGAGGAGAUGCUCGGCUACUCGCGCCAGACCGCCUGGUGCCACCUCCUCCAGGAGUGAAGCGCUACGACCUCCUCAUCCAUGUCGAUCAGGUGGAAGACUGGACGCCGUGCUCACUGCCAUCCUCCCACUCCGGCCUGUGGCCUCCCGUCCUCGGAUACCGACGAGGGCAAGGCCCUGCCGCGUAUCGAGUCGGUCGUCUGGACCAUGAACAUGGAGGACGGCUAGGAGCAGUCCCACAGAUGUGUGCGGGCGAAGCUCUCCUCUGGCUGUCAUGGCUUCCCCUCCAACGGCAGCCGUCGCGAGGACGACCACAAUAA